AAAGAAAAUAACAAUGAUUCCCCUAGUAACUGCGAGUGAAGAGGGACAAGCUCAAAUUUUAAAUCUAUCGGGUUUUACCCGAUCGAGUUGUAAUUUGAAGAAGCGUUUUCUGCGUUUUUGGUCAGCCCAAGUCCUAUUGAAUGAGGCAUCAUGGAGGGUGAUAAUCCCGUCCGGUUGAUCAUUUGCGUUUUACGAUACGCUCUCUAAGAGUCAAGUUGUUUGGGAUCGCAGCUUAAAAUGGGAGGUAAAUUUCUCCUAAGGCUAAAUAACGGCGAGAGACCGAUAGCGAACAAGUACCGUGAGGGAAAGAUGAAAAGAACUUUGAAAAGAGAGUUAAACAGUACGUGAAAUUGUUGAAAGGGAAACGAUUGAAGCCAGUCGUACCUUCGGGUAAUCAGCCUUUCGGGUGCGAUUCUGUGGAGUGUGAGGAGCUUAACACCUUCAUGCUUUGCAUAUUUGUGCUCUUGGGUGUACUUGCCCGUGUGGUUGGUUAACAUCAAUUUUAAUUAUCAUAAAAUGACUGGAGGAAUGUAGCUUCGAUCUCGUAUUGAAGUGUUAUAGCCUUCGGUAGAUGUGAUGAUCGAGAUUGAGGAUUGCAACGGAUACCCUUCGGGGCUACCUGUCUGGUCUCUGAUCGUUGCUCUGGUGCCGAAAGCGUGCUUACGGUUAUCAAAGUCGAUGGUCAAUAGGUUAGAACGGGUUAAAUU
rnacentral:rRNA from 1 species